rnacentral:rRNA from 1 species
AUGCCUAUCCCGCAUCCUCGUCGUCGAGUCGGCGGAGGACGACACCUGCUUGACCAGAUGGGCCAUGUCCGGGACUGGGCUCCGCCGGGGUGGUACUGGGAGGCGCUACCUACCGGGGGGCGCAGGUUGGUGAGGAGCCAGCCUGUCAUUGACCCAAACCUUCUUUGGUGGCGGUCGCGUGGGCCAGUGACAGUCCAGAGGGUCGAGGACCCCGCGGAGGUGGUGCGUCACCGUGUCAGUGAGGAGGACGCGCACGUCCGUUGCUACUUGUUUGUGUUGGAGCAUAGGUUCUCCAAUACCUGGCAGGUUCUCCAGGGAUCUCACUGGAGCUAUGAUCCUGUGAUGGUUCCUUCUCUGUGGGUGUAUUAG